GUGACCGGCUAGGGCUCUGGCGGCCCCACACACCCAGACAGUUUUCCAGAGAACAGGGCGACUUUGAGCCGCCAACCAACAGCCGCACGUCCUCUGUCUGCGCAUUCAGUGGGGGCUUCGUGGGGACGGUGGCCGGGCAUUCAUCUCCUCAACACACCUGAGGAGCACCUUCUGAACUCGGCCCUGUCCCAGGAGCCCAGGGGCCAGCAGAGACCCAAAGAAAUGUUCCUGGGCCUGCGAAUUUGGCCAGGGGACCAAGGUGACAAGCGCAUCACGGGGAGAAGACAGCAGGGAAGGGUAGGGCAGCGGCUGUGUGAGGCGGUUAGGUGGGCGCUCAGCCAGAAAGGCCCACGGCAGCCCCGGAGUGGACAGGAGACCUGCGGACACUGCAGAGCGUCCCAGGCCCUGCAGCAGGACCAGCCUGGCAUGCGGCCAGCAGCAAGGAGCCCUGUGGCUGGACGGGUGCCCUGGAGUGGACUCUAGGCUUCUCAGGGGAGGUAGGGUUCACCAGGAUGGAGGGUCCAGGGCAGUCGUGAGUUGACCCUCGUCCACGUGGGCACUGGGGACAGGACCACAGGUGUACUCAUCUGUGGCUGGGGGGGUUUCCAGAUGAGGUGUGGCACCACUUGGGAGGACAGGAGCUGAGCCCCUUGGCACCCCUCAGCCCAGGCCUCGAAAGGGCCCUAGCUCUGCCCCUCAGAGGAUGGCCAGGUGUGUCCACCUGGGCAGGCACACAGGUGGCGAGGAGGUGGCCUUCCCUCUAGGUGGAAGUGGGGAGCUUCACUGUCUAAUUCAACAUGGGGUGCCACCGGCCACCCCCAUGGGACCAGCCCCCAGGUCUCGCCUCUCCCUCCAUCCCUGCAGACUACGUUCCCCGGAGCCCAAAGCCAUCCCUGUCCUCCUCUGUGGUUCCCCAGCAGCACCCCUGGCACUCGACACAGUGAGGAGACGGCCAGUUGCCCUGGGCUUUUCAUGUCCCUGCUAUAGUCCAGCCAUGUCCAUUCAUCCUGGGCCACUUUGAGGGUCACCCGAGUCACGCCUCACUUUUGGCCACUGUGACCACGCUACCAGGAAUGUUCUAGAAAUGUCCUUUGGUGGACUGAGGGCUUGUUUCCUUUGGGCGCACACCUGUCAGGGGCUGUUGCGUCUGAGUCUUCUUUGGCCACGAUGACCACAAGGGGCAUUUACCCUCCCCUCAUCCUGGAGGCCAGCUUUGGAGGUCCAGCUGUGCUCAGGGUGUCCCUCCCGAGGCUCCAAGCAGGAUCCUGAGCUCUGGGGCUCCAGGCAUCCCUGGCUUGCAGCUACGUGGCUCCAGUGUCCAUCUCCAUCUUCAUGGAUGGUCCAUGUCUGGGUCUACUUACGUAUUGUCAGUGUAGAGACUGACCCAGGUGCUCACCAGCGAGCCCAGCCUCCCCUUUUUAAUUAAUUGGUGUCCUUAGUUGUGUCCUUGUCUUGUUUCAAGUUUGUAGCUGCAGGUGGACACAACACCUUGAUUUCAUUUAUCUUAGGUGCUGCUGAGGACCCAACCCAGG
rnacentral:lncRNA from 1 species